rnacentral:rRNA from 1 species
UUAAAGAACCCGAACCAGGAGCGCCGGGGAAGGGUUCUUUACACGGGUAAUAGGAAUGUGGCCGGAACGAGGUCUGCGAAGGAUACAACAGCUUGAGGCUUUGGGAUUGGUCUGAGCAGAAUAUCUUUCUCUUGCGGCUGUGACCAGCGGUGGUAGGUCUAGGUCCAGGAAGGAGCAAUAGAAAGUGGUACGGAAGUCGUCGAAGGGCUGAGCACGCCUAGCCGGCACGGCGAGCGAGUCGACGCCGCUGGUGUAGAGCGAAGCGGGUUAAGCAACUUCGUCGCUGGGAGAGGUGCUUCCGCCACCGCUGGUUUGGAGUGCGAUAGAAUCCAAGUCUAGCACGGCGGAGGCAUCUAGACGCAUACUUGGUUAGGUGACAGGUACGAGGAGGUGCGCGGUACCGUGGACGGAGGGACUGUGAGUCAGUGGGUCUUCUUGUUUCCGUCCUUCCAUUCCACUUCAAACACCAUCUCCUCUUUCUGGAACUCAGUCUUCGUCGGGAAACCCGGAACAUACUCGCGACCACGUUUCUAAAGUUGGUUUUCGCACUAGUACUACUCUACCAAGUGACCAAGUUGUGUAAGUUCCUCUGACAGGACGAACAGGUGGCAGCCUUGUUACGAUUAGACGGGAUGUUUAACCCUUAUUUGUUUAAGCGCCUACCCUUCGAUUCCUUCGAGACAACGACAGUACUAGGAUAAGAAUUUUUCUAACUACUCCUCAAACCGCUGUUUGGUCCACUUAAAUAAGAUCCACUACCACUGUUUGAAGAGUUCGCUCAGAAGCGACUAAUAUUCCACCAAGUACCGUCUGACAUACAAGUAAAUGGUUUCCCUCAACUACACCUUUGGUAGUGGUGGUUAGGACUUACCCAGCUCGACCUUCGCUGGUGGUUGGGAGGUAUGGCUAUGGGAUGAAUGUAGAUCACCACGAUAGUAAUGACGAUGAUUCGACACGAAGACGGUUGCCAACGUAUGAUCCUGAACCUACAACAGGAAGAACGAUUAUUUUGUAUGAGGAAGGCAGGCCUUUAUGAACAGUAGCUUUACCUAUUUUCUCUACAUAGAUCUGCAUAAAAUCAAGAUCUAUGUAGAGAAAACUAGGUAAAACUACUGUUCAUAAAAUCCUGCCUCCCGCAUACGUAUUAUUCGAUUGGUACUCGUAUACUCCUAAUGCAAUUACGAAAACAUUCUAUAAAAUUUGAAACUGAUUCCACAACAUUAUUAAGGUCUAAGUAGCAAUACACGAGUAAUCAGUCCAAAAAAGGAGAGUAUGGAGUAACUCAUGUCUCGAACCC